GGUAGUAGCAAAUACUCCAGCGAGGCCCUGGAGGACUGACGUGGAGAAGCGUUUCGUGUGAACAGCCGUUGCACACGAGUCAGUCGAUCCUAAGCCCUAGGCGAAAGCCGAUGUUGAUGUGGUGUAGAUAUGUCGUUGGUUCGUUUUUAAUUCGAACGUAAACGUACGAAGUGAGCACACACCCAUUGGGCGAAAGGGAAUCCGGUUCCUAUUCCGGAACCCGGCAGCGGAACCGUUAAUAAUUCGGGCCCUCGCAAGAGAGUUCGUCGGGGCAACCCAAAAGGACCCGGAGACGCCGUCGGGAGAUCCGGGAAGAGUUUUCUUUUCUGCAUGAGCGUUCGAGUUCCAUGGAAUCCUCUAGCAUGGAGAUAUGGUUUGGAACACGAAGAGCACCGCAGUUGCGGCGGUGUCCGGAUCUUCCCCUCGGACCUUGAAAAUCCGGGAGAGGGCCACGUCGAGGCGUCGCGCCGGUUCGUACCCAUAUCCGCAGCAGGUCUCCAACGUGAAGAGCCUCUAGUC
rnacentral:ncRNA from 1 species